GUAGAUAUAGUUUACUAAAACACUAGACUGUGGCUCUAGAGAUAGAAGCUAUUAACUUCUUAUUUACC
rnacentral:tRNA from 1 species